rnacentral:lncRNA from 1 species
UUCGGAGGAGUUAGCGAAAUUCCAAUGUGUGCGGAUCGGCAAAAAAUGCGAAAUAACCCUUUAACCGUAAUUUUGACAGAUACGGCCGCACUGACUUUUUUGUAGAUCUUAUUGAGAUACAUAUGUGUGUCAAUUUUUGUGUCAAUAUGACAAAGCGUACAGGCGUGACAGUCAAUAGUGUGAAUUUCCACCUUAGGGGGCGCUAUGGAGCCAUUUUGCAUUUUAUUGUUUGGGCGACUUCAGAAUAUCGAAUUUUUCACCAGGCCCGGUCGUCCUGCCAAAUUUCAUGAGUUUUCGCCAGUGGGAAGUGGGCCAUUUUCCAGUUCAAAGGGGAGGAAAAAGAAGAAACUAGGACCCCGUUGGGGCACUGGCGGGCCCGAGCCGUGUCGCGUCCCCCCAACGUGCUGCCUCCCCGUCCCAUUUGUGUCCUCUGGCCAUCGCCCUCUCUGGUAACGCCCAUCACUGCAAAGACCCUUUUCCUUCAUCGGCGUUUGCUGUUCUUCCUGCCAGUGCGUGUUGCUUUCACUUACACUUGCCACAGCCAGCCUCGUGAGUGCCUAGCCUAUUGGAUAUCACUGUCACCUACACAGGACAGUCAUUACCUUUCUAUUAAUACUUUGUGUUUUAAUUUCACAUUAAUUUCCAUAUUGUAUAAACGACUGGAAAAAACUUGAGCCCCUGCCCCUGUAUAAUCAUGUGCAUGUCUCUGUUCUAGCUCCAAGGUGAAUCUUCACUGCUCAUGUUCUCCUCAGAAGCACUCACCUCACUCCCCUCAGGUUACUGUACACAUGCACCAACUGCCUGCUUCAGGUUUGGAUGGAGCUUCAUGGUUGUCUUUUGGAGAAAUGACCAGUCAAGUUGUGUUUGAAAUUUGAUUUUUUUCAGGGGCAAAAGGAGCCUCUGCAUUCUUGUCAAAUAUGUAAAUAGCAUGUUUUUGCAGGUGCUAAAAACCAGACUCUGAGUGUGUGUGUGUGUGUGUGUGUGUGCGUGUGUGUGUCUGUGUGUGCGUUCAAGUCACAUGACAUAUUUAACCGGAUGUAGCUGCAAGACGGAGCCUCGUUGACUCUCCGUUUCAACUUAUCUCAAAAGUGAGGACCUCAACCUAUAUACCAGUUUUUAAAUUGUGUUGGUAGGCCAAAUAAAACCAGAGUUAUGAUAAAUUAUGUCCGCGAUACUUUUUUUCUGCUUAUUUUGAUCACGUUCGGCGCUCAAUCGCGCUGUAUGAGACAGGAAAACAUAGCAUGCAGACAUUAGCGACAGCUCUUACAGGCGGAAAAGGCUUGCCAAAAGAAAAAAAAAACACACCACAACAUCUCUCCUAUUGGUGGAAAACUUCACCACAACAACCAAUCCAAAAUUAUAUGGUGACUGAUUGACAAGGGGCGGGCGCUUACGUUCUUCCUGCAACAUGAGAAGGGAGGGAGGGACUCUCAGCAGGGAUGCAGUCUGGGACACGUAGUUGCAAACCUAGCGACUUUGUUGUUAGAUUCAAUGACUUUUCAGACCCCCUAACGACUUUUUUUUAGAAAGAAAGGGACUUUUAUCGACUUCUUCUGGAGUUUAGAGACUCUGACAUGAAGCAGGCUUUCCUUACUGAGGAGUUAGCAACGCUGCUAAGGGUGCAGAGCCACACAUGCGCUCAGAGCUCUGCAUGGGAGACUGAAGCUGACAGAGCUGCAGCAGUUAGCAGGUUUCACCCUCAGAGACCACCAGGGGUUCAUGUUGAGGCAUUUUAAUUUUUUUUUUUUUUGUGCCAUAGACACUGUCAGCACAAUCUGCAGUUACACUAACAAAAAUGCUGCAAAAAACAAAGAAUUAUGGAAAAAUUACACAUGGACUGACAUACAGGAGGAUCUACACAAGUUUUUUACAUCAUGUUUUACAUCAUGCAUCAUUUACAUCAUGUUUUUUUGUAGUGGCAUAAAUAAAAAGUGACAUUUGUGAGACUAUACAGUGUUUUGUAAAUAAUUUUACAAAGAACGCCUGGGCCAUUGCCUGCAUUUUGAUGUAAAUAGAGGUAAAUCACUAUGUUCUUUGUUAAAAAUUUGCAUAUGUUUUGAAGUUUACAAUUUUUAUUUGAAGUUUAAGUUUUAAAAACAGUUCAUCACACAUAUUUGUGGUUUAAUUUCACAUUAAUUUCCAUAUUGUAUAAACGACUGGAAAAAACUUGAGCCCCUGCCCCUGUAUAAUCAUGUGCACGUCCCUGUUCUAGCUCCAAGGUGAAUCUUCACUGCUCAUGUUCUCCUCAGAAAUAGUCACCUCACUCCCCUCAGGUUACUGUACACAUGCACCAACUAUCUGCUUCAGGUUUGAAAUGGAGCUUCAUGGUUGUCUUUUGGAGAAAUGAACAGUCAAGUUGUGUUUGAAAUUUGAUUUUUUUCAGGGGCAAAAGGAAGCCUCUGCAUUCUUGUCAAAUAUGUAAACAGCAUGUUUUUGCAGGUGCUAAAAAACAGACUCUGAGUGUGUGUGUGUGUGUGUGUGUGUGUGUGUGUGUGUGUGUGUGUGUGUGUGUGUGUGUGUGUGUGUGUGUGUGUGUGUGUAUGUUGGCGUGUGUGUAUAUGUGUGUGUAUCCUGCAGUACUCUGUACUCCUGCAGUGGCCAAAAAGACUUUUAAGAAUGUGGAUUUUUGGGUCAUCUUUGGCGCCCCCUAGAACUGCAGUACUCUGUACUCCUGCAGUGGCCAAAAUGACUUUUAAGAAUGUGGAUUUUUGGGUCAUCUUUGGCGCCCCCUAGAACGUAAACCGUGGGGUGCAGCGUCAUGAUUUUUACAACUUUGAAUGGGCAUGGGGUGUAGAUUGCCCUGAGCAAAUUUGGUAUCGGUGGGACGAAAGCCUUAGGAGGAGAUAGCCACAUUCCAAUGUGUGCGAAUCGGCAAAAAAUGCGAAAUAGCCCUUUAACCGUACAUUAUACAGAUACGCGCUCUUUGACUUUUUCGUAGAUCUAAUUGAGAUACACAUGAUUGUCAAUUUUUGUGUCAAUAUGACAAAGCGUUCAGGGCGUGACACUCAACAAUGUGUAUUUUCAUGUAAGGGGACAAGAAAAAAUUGACUUUUUUCUCCUACCAUGGGGGGCGCUCUUUUGGGGAGUAAAAAUUCCUUCACAAAUGUGUUGAUGGCUGGACAUUGCAUCAUCCUAGAAAACUUGGAGGCCAGUGAGGACAAAAAUAAAAAGUUAUAAAACAUUUAAGAAUGUGGAUUUUUGGGUUAUUUUUGGCGCCCCCUAGAACCUAAACCAUGGGGUGCAGCAUCAUGAUUUGAAUAACUUUUAAUGGCCAUGGGGUGUAGAUUGGCCUGAGCAAAUAUGGUGCCGGUGGAACGAAAGCCUUCGGAGGAGUUAGCGAAAUUCCAAUGUGUGCGUAUCGGCAAAAAAUGCGGAAUAACCCUUUAACUAUACAUUUGACAGAUACGCGCGCAUGGACUUUUUUGUAGAUCUUAUUGAGUUACAUGUGUGUGUCAAUUUUUGUGUCAUUUUGACAAAGCGUAUAGGCGUGACACUCAACAAUGUGUAUUUUCACCUUAGGGGACAAGAAAAAAUGGACUUUUUUCUCCUGCCAUGGGGGGGCGCUCUUUUGGGGAGUAAAAAUUCCUUCACAAAUGUGUUGAUGGCUGGACAUUGCAUCAUCCUAGAAAACUUGGAGGCCAGUGAGGACAAAAAUAAAAAGUUAUAAGACUUUUAAAUAUGUGGAUUUUAGUGUUAUCUUUGGCGCCCCCUAGAACCUAAACCUUGGGGUGCAGCGUCAUGAUUUUGAUAACUUUUAAUGGCCACGGGGUGUAGAUUGGCCUGAGCAAAUGUGGUGCCGGUGGAACGAAAGCCUUCGGAGGAGUUAGCGAAAUUCCAAUGUGUGCGGAUCGGAAAAAAAUGCGAAAUAACCCUUUAACCGUACAUUUGACAGAUACGGCCGCACUGACUUUUUUGUAGAUCUUAUUGAGAUACAUAUGUGUGUCAAUUUUUGUGUCAAUAUGACAAAGCGUACAGGCGUGACAGUCAAUAGUGUGAAUUUCUACCUUAGGGGGCGCUAUGGAGCCAUUUUGCAUUUUAUUGUUUGGGCGACUUCAGAAUAUCAAAUUUUUCACCAGGCCCGGUCGUCCUGCCAAAUUUCAUGAGUUUUCGCCAGUGGGAAGUGGGCCAUUUUCCAGUUCAAAGGGGAGGAAAAAGAAAAAAGAAAGAAAGAAACAAAGAAAAACCACUUGGGGAAUAAUAGGGCCUACGCCCGGCUGCUCUGCAGCUGGCUCGGGCCCUAAGAAAGAAAGAACUAGGGCCCCGUUGGGGCACUGGCGGGCCCGAGCCGUGUCACGCCGCCCCCAGCGCGACCGCCUCCCCCACCCGAUCGCGUCACACUCAAGGUCCAAAGAUGGUGUGCGCACUUGUUUGUGGUCAUUUACCAUUAUAAUGAACGGGAGGCGCAGUUUCUACCAAAACGCUCGCUGCAGAAAAACUCCAUGUCCUAUUUGAAAAAAGUCUGGACCAUGAGUGAGGGCACAAACACAGCUAAGAUAUAUCCAAAUGGCAAGUUGCUCCUCCUUUCGCUUUUGCCGAGAGAGCAGUGCGUUUGAGCCAUUGAAUGAUGAACAGGAAAAACUUGACUUUAUUCUCCUGCCAUGGGGGGGCGCUCUUUUAAAGAGAAAAAACUCCUUCACAAAUGUGUUGAUGGCUGGACAUUGCAUCAUCCUAGAAAACAUGGAGGCCAGUGAGGACAAAAAUAAAAAGUUAUAAGACUUUUAAAUAUGUGGAUUUUAGGGUUAUAUUUGGCGCCCCCUAGAACCUAAACCGUGGGGUGCAGCGUCAUGAUUUGAAUAACUUUUAAUGGCCAUGGGGUGUAGAUUGGCCUGAGCAAAUGUGGUGCCGGUGGAACGAAAGCCUUCGGAGGAAUUAGCGAAAUUCCAAUGUGUGCGAAUCUGCAAAAAAUGCGAAAUAACCCUUUAACCGUACAUUUUACAGAUACGUGGCCAUUGACUUUUUCGAAGAUCUUAUUGAAAUACACGUGUAUGUAAAAUUUUGUGUCAAUACGAAAAAACAUACAGGCGUAGCACUCAACAAUGUGUAUUUUCACCUUAGUGGACAAGAAAAAAUUGACUUUCUUCUCCUGCCAUGGGGGGCGCUCUUUUGGCGAGUAAAAAUUCCUUCACAAAUGUGUUGAUGGCUGGACAUUGCAUCAUCCUAGAAAACUUGGAGGCCAGUGGGGACAAAAAUAAAAAGUUAUAAGACUUUUAAAUAUGUGGAUUUUACGGUUAUCUUUGGCUCCCCCUAGAACCUAAACCGUGGGGUGCAGCGUCAUGAUUUGAAUAACUUUUAAUGGCCAUGGGGUGUAGAUUGGCCUGAGCAAAUGUGGUGCCGGUGGAACGAAAGCCUUCGGAGGAGUUAGCGAAAUUCCAAUGUGUGCGGAUCGGCAAAAAAUGCGGAAUAACCCUUUAACCGUACAUUUGACAGAUACCCGCGCAUUGACUUUUUCGUAGAUCUUAUUGAGAUACAUGUGUGUGUCAAUUUUUGUGUCAUUUUGCCAAAGCGUACAGGUGUUACACUCAACAAUGUGUAUUUUCACCUUAGGGGACAAGAAAAAAUGGACUUUUUUCUCCUGCCAUGGGGGGGCGCUCUUUUGGGGAGUAAAAAUUCCUUCACAAAUGUGUUGAUGGCUGGACAUUGCAUCAUCCUAGAAAACUUGGAGGCCAGUGAGGGCAAAAAUAAAAAGUUAUAAGACUUUUAAAUAUGUGGAUCUUAGGGUUAUCUUUGGCGCCCCCUAGAACCUAAACCGUGGGGUGCAGCGUCAUGAUUUGAAUAACUUUUAAUGGCCAUGGGGUGUAGAUUGGCCUGAGCAAAUGUGGUGCCGGUGGAACGAAAGCCUUCGGAGGAGUUAGCGAAAUUCCAAUGUGUGCGGAUCGGCAAAAAAUGCGAAAUAACCCUUUAACCGUACAUUUGACAGAUACGCCCGCACUGACUUUUUUGUAGAUCUUAUUAAGAUACAUGUGUGUGUCAAUUUUUGUGUCAUUUUGACAAAGCGUACAGGCGUGACAGUGAAUAGUGUGAAUUUUCACCUUAGGGGGCGCUAUGGAGCCAUUUUGCAUUUUCUUGUUUGGGCGACUUCGGAAUAUCAAAUUUUUCACCAGGCCCGGUCGUCCUGCCAAAUUUCAUGAGUUUUCGCCAGUGGGAAGUGGGCCAUUUUCCAGUUCAAAGGGGAGGAAAAAUAAUAACUAGGGCCCCGUUGGGGCACUGGCGGGCCCGAGCUGUGUCGCGCCGCCCCCAACACGACCGCGUCACACUCAAGGUCCAAAGAUGGUGUUCGCACUUGUCUGUGGUCAUUUACCAUUAUAAUGAAUGGGAGGCGCAGUUUCUACCAAAACGCUCGCUGCAGACAAACUACAUGUCCUAUUUGAAAAAAGUCUGGACCAUGAGUGAGGGCACAAACACAGCUAGGAUAUAUCCAAAUGGCAGGUUGCUCCUCCUUACGGUGUUGCCUGGAGAGCGAUGCGAUUGAGCCAUUGAGCGAUGGGCAGGAAAAACUUGACUUUUUCUCCGGCCAUGGGGGGCGCUGUUUUGGGGAGUAAAAAUUCCUUCACAAAUGUGUUGAUGGCUAGACAUUGCAUCAUCCUAGAAAACUUGGAGGCCAGUGAGGACAAAAAUAAAAAGUUCUAAGACUUUUAAGAAUGUGGAUUUUUGGGUCCUCUUUGGCGCCCCCUAGAACGUAAACCAUGGGGUGCAGCGUCAUGAUUUUUACAACUUUUAAUGGCCAUGGGGUGUAGAUUGCUCUGAGCAAAUUUGUUGUCAGUGGGACGAAAUCCUUAGGAGGAGUCAGCCACAUUCCAAUGUGUGCGAAUCAGCAAAAAAUGCAAAAUAGCCCUUUAGCCGUACAGUUUACAGAUACGCGUGCAUUGACUUUUUCGUAGAUCUUAUUGAGAUACACGUGUGUGUCAAAUUUUUUGUCAAUAUGACAAAGCGUACAGGCGUGAAUCUCAACAAUGUGUAUUUUCACCUUAGGGGACAAGAAAAAAUUGACUUUUUUUUCCUGCCAUGGGGGGGCGCUCUUUUGGGGAGUAAAAAUUCCUUCACAAAUGUGUUGAUGGCUGGACAUUGCAUCAUCCUAGAAAACUUGGAGGCCAGUGAGGACAAAAAAAAAAAGUUAUAAAACUUUUAAGAAUGUGGAUUUUUGGGUUAUUUUUGGCGCCCCCUAGAACCUAAACCGUGGGGUGCAGCGUCAUGAUUUGUACAACUUUGAAUGGCCAUGGAGUGUAGAUUGGCCUGAGCAAAUGUGGUGCCGGUGGAACGAAAGCCUUCGGAGGAGUUAGCGAAAUUCCAAUGUGUGCAGAUCGGAAAAAAUGCGCAAUAACCCUUUAACCGUACAUUUGACAGAUACGCCCGCACUGACUUUUUUGUAGAUCUUAUUGAGAUACAUGUGUGUGUCAAUUUUUGUGUCAAUAUGACAAAGCGUACAGGCGUGACAGUCAAUAGUGUGAAUUUUCACCUUAGGGGGCGCUAUGGAGCCAUUUUGCAUUUUAUUGUUUGGGCGACUUCAGAAUAUCGAAUUUUUCACCAGGCCCGGUCGUCCUGCCAAAUUUCCUGAGUUUUCGCCAGUGGGAAGUGGGCCAUUUUCCAGUUUAAAGCGGAGGAAAAAUAAUAAUAACUAGGACCCCGUUGGGGCACUGGCGGGCCCGAGCCGUGUCGCGUCCCCCCCCAACGUGCUGCCUCCCCGUCCCAUUUGUGUCCUCUGGCCAUCGCCCUCUCUGGUAACGCCCAUCACUGCAAAGACCCUUUUCCUUCAUCGGCGUUUGCUGUUCUUCCUGCCAGUGCGUGUUGCUUUCACUUACACUUGCCACAGCCAGCCUCGUGAGUGCCUAGCCUAUUGGAUAUCACUGUCACCUACACAGGACAGUCAUUACCUUUCUAUUAAUACUUUGUGUUUUAAUUUCACAUUAAUUUCCAUAUUGUAUAAACGACUGGAAAAAACUUGAGCCCCUGCCCCUGUAUAAUCAUGUGCAUGUCUCUGUUCUAGCUCCAAGGUGAAUCUUCACUGCUCAUGUUCUCCUCAGAAGCACUCACCUCACUCCCCUCAGGUUACUGUACACAUGCACCAACUGCCUGCUUCAGGUUUGGAUGGAGCUUCAUGGUUGUCUUUUGGAGAAAUGACCAGUCAAGUUGUGUUUGAAAUUUGAUUUUUUUCAGGGGCAAAAGGAGCCUCUGCAUUCUUGUCAAAUAUGUAAAUAGCAUGUUUUUGCAGGUGCUAAAAACCAGACUCUGAGUGUGUGUGUGUGUGUGUGUGUGUGCGUGUGUGUGUCUGUGUGUGCGUUCAAGUCACAUGACAUAUUUAACCGGAUGUAGCUGCAAGACGGAGCCUCGUUGACUCUCCGUUUCAACUUAUCUCAAAAGUGAGGACCUCAACCUAUAUACCAGUUUUUAAAUUGUGUUGGUAGGCCAAAUAAAACCAGAGUUAUGAUAAAUUAUGUCCGCGAUACUUUUUUUCUGCUUAUUUUGAUCACGUUCGGCGCUCAAUCGCGCUGUAUGAGACAGGAAAACAUAGCAUGCAGACAUUAGCGACAGCUCUUACAGGCGGAAAAGGCUUGCCAAAAGAAAAAAAAAACACACCACAACAUCUCUCCUAUUGGUGGAAAACUUCACCACAACAACCAAUCCAAAAUUAUAUGGUGACUGAUUGACAAGGGGCGGGCGCUUACGUUCUUCCUGCAACAUGAGAAGGGAGGGAGGGACUCUCAGCAGGGAUGCAGUCUGGGACACGUAGUUGCAAAC